UACGUAGGUGGCAAGCGUUGUCCGGAUUUACUGGGUGUAAAGGGCGUGCAGCCGGGCUGACAAGUCAGAUGUGAAAUCCCGCGGCUCAACCGCGGAACUGCAUUUGAAACUGUCAGUCUUGAGUACCGGAGAGGUCAUCGGAAUUCCUUGUGUAGCGGUGAAAUGCGUAGAUAUUAGGAGGAACACCAGUGGCGAAGGCGGCUUACUGGACUGUAACUGACGUUGAGGCUCGAAAGCGUGGGGAGCAAACAGG
rnacentral:rRNA from 1 species